GACGAACCGUCCUACCGUUGUUCGGAAUCACUGGGCUUAAAGGGCGCGUAGGCGGGUUCCCAAGUCGGUGGUGAAAUCUUUCGGCCCAACCGGAAAACAGCCGCCGAUACUGGGAGUCUUGAGGGAGGUAGGGGUCGAUGGAACUUCCGGUGGAGCGGUGAAAUGCGUAGAUAUCGGAAGGAACGCCGGUGGCGAAAGCGAUCGACUGGACCUUUUCUGACGCUGAGGCGCGAAAGCCAGGGGAGCAAACGGG
rnacentral:rRNA from 1 species